GGGGAGUUGACUUGAUGCAGCUGGCUGUGGUUGUAGAUCUCAAGUUACAGUUAGUUCUCUGCUCGUCCCAACUAAACCCAUCUUUGCUGGAGCAGUAUCUGGGGGUUCCUUUCAGGUCAACAAGAGGUGAAGGAGCUGCUGCUGCUGCUGCUAAGUCACUUCAGUCGUGUCUGACUCUAUGCGACCCCAUAGACGGCAGCCCACCAGGCUCCUAAAGAGCAGCUGUGGGAGACCAGCCUUCCCUGCGGCUCAGGAGCCGAGCAGGUUUGAAACCAUGUACCCCAGUUCCUUCUACGGAGGAAGAACCAAAUACACAGCUACGAGAUACGGAGUCACGAGGGCAGGUGCUAUGUACAAAGCUGCCUCCUCCGCGCCCAUUGGAAGGACUGAAGCUGAAGCUCCAAUACUUUGGCCACCUGAUGCGAAGAGCCAACUCAUUGGGAAAGACCCUGACACUGGGAGAGGUUGAGGGCAGAAGGAGAAGGGAACAACAGAGGAUGAGAUGGUUGGAUGGCAUCACGGACUCAGUGGACAUGAGCCUGAGCAAACUCUGGGAGCCAGUGAAGGACAAGGAAACCUGGUGUGCUGCAGUCCAUGGGGUUGCAAAGAGUCGGGCAUGACUUACCGAAUGAACAACAGCAACCCUGCUCUGUGGGUUUCCGACUAUUUGGUCUUACUGUUUGUUGCAUGGCCCUAAUACACACACACUCGUGUCUUUCCAGGCCUGAUGCUCAGCUGCCUUUCUGGGAUUUGCUCUCCUCACCUUCCUGGGUUAGUUCCAGGCUCUUGGAUCCCACAUUGUUCUUGUCCCUGGACUCCUCUUUCACUCCGUUCUAAUAUUUUCUCCUCGAGUACUAGUUAUUUCGAAAAAGGUGCACUGAAGAUGGUUUAUAUUCGGAGUGUUCUGAUAACUGCAGGUUGGGUGGUUUUAUCUUGCACUGGCUGCUAAUGGAAUUUGGACCCCAAAUAAUUUUCCGUCCGAGUGUUGAGUGUAUUUCUCUACUUCCAGUGCUGACGAUAAAUAUUCUAAUUCAAAAACAGUUCUCACUCCUUUAUGGGUCGAUUUUCCCCACUCUAGAAGCUUCUUGAAUCUUCUUUGUAUGUUUCUGACAUUCUAAAAUUUUAGCAAAACAUAUCUGGGUUUUCUCUUUAUUCUAAUUCUAUAUACUUGUCAAUUGGCAAAGUCUUUCAGUCUGAAAUUCUCCCUAGCUCUGAGAAGUUUUCCUCUAGCAUUUGUUUGAUAGACCUGUUUCUUCUACUUCAAGUCUUUCUAGAGCUUCUGUCACUAAAAUGGAUACACCCCUGUGUGGAUGUGUGUGCAUGUUCAGUCAUAUCCGACUCUUUGUGAUUCCCAUGGACUGUAGCCUGCCAGGCUCCUCUGUCCAUAGGAUUCUCCAGGCAAGAGUGUUCCAAAGAUGAAGGAACUGUAUUUCAAGAUGGUAAUUCCUGAAGCAGCAGGAGACAGAAUUAUCACCACUGCAAGAGAAGAUUUAGGGACGGCAGAAGAAUGAAAGUGGCAGAUCUCAUGGGGACUCAGCGAAAUGAUAGAGCUGGAAGAGCUUAUAACCCAACGAUGCCACUUGAUUCAUAGAAACUGGCAGAAAUUCACUAGUGUUUCUAAUUUCUCCUUGUUUCCAAAACCACCUUGCUGGGCACCUUACCGGAGUGUUUUUUGACACUGAAACCAGGACACUGAACAGAUAAUAAGACAGACUUACCUUUUCCACAGCUUUUGCGUUAAUUAACGGGCCUUGAGUAGUUCUCUCUUCAAAUCCAUUACCCACAUGCAGGUUUGUUUUAAUUGCCUCAGCAAAU